rnacentral:sRNA from 2 species
AUAUGUGGGCGACCUUCCUCCUCCCGGGUUCUUCGCUCACGAGAUCAGCGCCACUCCUCCUCCCGGGCUGCUGAUCGGUUCUUUCGGAAAGCCUGCCGCACCUCCUCCCGCGGCGGGCUUUUUCG